AAUGAACGCUGGCGGCAUGCCUUACACAUGCAAGUCGAACGGCAGCAUGACCUAGCUUGCUAGGUUGAUGGCGAGUGGCGCACGGGUGAGUAAUGCAUCUGAACGUGCCUUUUAGUGGGGGAUAACUUAGCGAAAGUUACGCUAAUACCGCAUAUUCUCUGAGGAGGAAAGCAGGGUACCUUCGGGCCUUUCUCUAGAAGAGCGGCCGACGUCGGAUUAGCUAGUUGGUGAGGUAAAGGCUCACCAAGGCAACGAUCCGUAGCGGGUCUGAGAGGAUGAUCCGCCACACUGGAACUGAGACACGGCCCAGACUCCUACGGGAGGCAGCAGUGGGGAAUUUUGGACAAUGGGCGAAAGCCUGAUGCAGCAAUGCCGCGUGAGUGAAGAAGGCCUUCGGGUUGUAAAGCUCUUUCGGCUGGGAAGAAAACGCACCCUCUAAUACAGGGUGUGGAUGACGGUACCAGCAUAAGAAGCACCGGCUAACUACGUG
rnacentral:rRNA from 1 species